GAAAAAAAAAUCAGAGAUCUACAUGGCCCCUGGGCAAGGAUGACACACAAAUUCAUGAAGAGCUCCGUAUUUUU
rnacentral:snRNA from 1 species